GCUAACUACGUGCCAGCAGCCGCGGUAAUACGUAGGUGGCAAGCGUUGUCCGGAUUUAUUGGGCGUAAAGCGAGCGCAGGCGGUUUCUUAAGUCUGAUGUGAAAGCCCCCGGCUCAACCGGGGAGGGUCAUUSGAAACUGGGAGACUUGAGUGCAGAAGAGGAGAGUGGAAUUCCAUGUGUAGCGGUGAAAUGCGUAGAUAUAUGGAGGAACACCAGUGGCGAAGGCGGCUCUCUGGUCUGUAACUGACGCUGWGGCUCGAAAGCGUGGGGAGCAAACAGGAUUAGAUACCCUGGUAGUCCACGCCGUAAACGAUGAGUGCUAAGUGUUGGAGGGUUUCCGCCCUUCAGUGCUGCAGCAAACGCAUUAAGCACUCCGCCUGGGGAGUACGACCGCAAGGUUGAAACUCAAAGGAAUUGACGGGGGCCCGCACAAGCGGUGGAGCAUGUGGUUUAAUUYGAAGCAACGCGAAGAACCUUACCAGGUCUUGACAUCCUUUGACCACUCUAGAGAUAGAGCUUUCCCUUCGGGGACAAAGUGACAGGUGGUGCAUGGUUGUCGUCAGCUCGUGUCGUGAGAUGUUGGGUUAAGUCCCGCAACGAGCGCAACCCUUAUUGUUAGUUGCCAUCAUUUAGUUGGGCACUCUAGCGAGACUGCCGGUGACAAACCGGAGGAAGGUGGGGAKGACGUCAAAUCAUCAUGCCCCUUAUGACCUGGGSUACACACGUGCUACAAUGGGAAGUACAACGAGUCGCUAGACCGCGAGGUCAUGCAAAUCUYUUAAAGCUUCUCUCAGUUCGGAUUGCAGGCUGCAACUCGCCUGCAUGAAGCCGGAAUCGCUAGUAAUCGCGGAUCAGCMCGCCGCGGUGAAUACGUUCCCGGGCCUUGUACACACCGCCC
rnacentral:rRNA from 1 species